rnacentral:rRNA from 1 species
CAACUUUCAACAAUGGAUCUCUUGGCUCUGGCAUCGAUGAAGAACGCAGCGAAAUGCGAUAAGUAGUGUGAAUUGCAGAAUUCAGUGAAUCAUCGAAUCUUUGAACGCACAUUGCGCCCCUCGGUAUUCCGUGGGGCAUGCCUGUUCGAGCGUCAUC